UUUUUUUUUUUUUUUUAAUCUUCUCAAGAAAAGUUUAUCUUUUCAACAAGGCUUUGCUUAUCUGGGAUACUCUGUUAUGCUUGGCUGUUGUUUUCUUUAGUGUGUUGUAUUUGUUGAUUUGAAAAUUUGUUCUCCAUCCUAGUUUACAAUGUGCUAAAAGGGAUAGAUUCCCUUUUACUAGGAAAAAGAGUGAGUAUGAUUGUUGUAAUGUGGGUAUCUUUCCUUUCUAUUGUAUUAAAAAAUAAGUGUGGCUAUGUAUUUGUCAUUAUUUUGAAGCGUAUUUUGGACUGCUGUGGAAAAUGCUGAUUUUUUGCAUGAAGGUGCCUAUCUGUGAAAUUGAAU
rnacentral:misc_RNA from 1 species